UCUAAUGUGGCAGAAAAGUGCAUUGAAUUUAAACUUCAAAUAUAAAAAUUAUUUUUUUUUUAGAA
rnacentral:tRNA from 1 species